GUGACUGUGGUAACGGCUGAUUCUUGUGGACUGGACUAGAACGUCGCGGAGAAUGAAAGGGUCGAGGUGCAGAGGCCUUGGCGGACUCAUUUUUGUAGGUGAUGUCGUCUUCAGUGCUGGCAAAGAGUAAAAUAGAGCCAGUGCAAGCCACGAGCCCAAGUCAGGCGUUCUCAAGCUGGAGUGCAUCAUCUCAAAAACAGCUACCGCGCUUCGCCGGCGUACAGAGGAGCGAACCGGCCGACGGAGGAUAGAGACUAGGCUUCUGUAUAGUUUUACCAUAUCCUCGGGGGAUUUGAAUUCUACAACAAAAUUUGAAGCCCACUUCCUAAAACUUAGUGGAGAGAGGUAACUGAUGAACCCAUCCAUAACAAAAGAGGUAACUGAGGAACCCGUCCAUAUCAAAAUCUACCGGAAGAAAGGGGGAGACUGUAGUUGAGAGCCCUAAGGAAGCAAACUUUUGUUAAAAAGUGGGUGUCGGUAGGCAAACAAGGCCUAUUUGGGACUUAUCUGGGACCAGCAGACGAGAAGAAAGUCAGCCCGGAUCCUUGGGCCCAGGCUGGCGGAAGGACAGCCAGGUGACGGGGUGGUGCCGGGUGUGUGGGCCUCCCGGAAUGGUUCUUAUGCCAUGGAAAGACACGUAAAAGAAGAAAGGUGGAUGAAGGUUAGCAUAAUCACUGGGAGAAGUCAAAGGUGACUUUGGCAGGGCAUGGACUUGGCGUAUCAACCCAGUUGGUGCUGUAAUGCCAUGGACAGAGGAAAGAAAGACUGGAGAUGUUUGAAAUGACCGCACAAGAGACAAAGGGGGACAUGAAAAUAAUAAACCGCUCCCUAUGGAAA